rnacentral:ncRNA from 1 species
UUCCGUUCCAUGGGAGAGCGCAGAUCAAGUCUGCCGCCGAAGGCGCAAUUUCACCCGAAAACGCUCAGGUAAAAGGACCAUGAAACCGGA